rnacentral:misc_RNA from 1 species
GGGAUGAGCAAGGACUCGAGGUUUCCUUCCAACAUUUCCACUACUCUGCUCAUUGGGGGUCGGUUUGAGGGAUCUGUUUGAAUGCACCACAAGCCUACUAUUACAAUCUUCCUUGCAUUUUCCUUGUCUUCUUGAUUCAUCAUGCCUUGCAAUCCAAGUUCUUUAUCUUGUUCAAGUUUAUUGUAUAUCAGGUGAGGAAAAUAUGUUUCACUGAUAUGUUCAGGAGAAGCUCCAACAUCAUCAUCAAUAAUAUUUUUUCCAGCAGCCAUUUCCAGAACCAACAUUCC